rnacentral:rRNA from 1 species
GUGGGGAAUAUUGGACAAUGGGCGAAAGCCUGAUCCAGCCAUGCCGCGUGUGUGAAGAAGGUCUUCGGAUUGUAGAGCACUUUAAGUUGGGAGGAAGGGUAGUAAACUAAUACGUUGCUACUUUGACGUUACCGACAGAAUAAGCACCGGCUAACUUCGUGCCAGCAGCCGCGGUAAUACGAAGGGUGCAAGCGUUAAUCGGAAUUACUGGGCGUAAAGCGCGCGUAGGUGGUUCAGUAAGUUGGAAGUGAAAUCCCCGGGCUCAACCUGGGAACUGCUUUCAAAACUGAUGAGCUAGAGUACGGUAGAGGGUGGUGGAAUUUCCUGUGUAGCGGUGAAAUGCGUAGAUAUAGGAAGGAACACCAGUGGCGAAGGCGACCACCUGGACUGAUACUGACACUGAGGUGCGAAAGCGUGGGGAGCAAACAGGAUUAGAAACCCCAGUAGUCC